AUGAGGGCUUGCUUCCKCACACAGACUAAAAUUGGAAGGAUACARAGACCCCUACGUAAAGAUCACAUGAAAAUUCGUGAAGCAUUCCAUAUUUUU
ensembl:snRNA U6 U6 spliceosomal RNA